CGGCCACGACUACUCCUUCUGGUGGAAGUCUUGUAAGGCGACAUUUUUAAAUUCCUCCGUGGCAUGAGAAUGAAAUACGUAAAGCAAAAAAGCAAGGAGUGGAAUUUGUGCCGCCGCGGCAUAAAUCAGGAUGCCUUGCGAGGCUAACAAAAGGCGGAGAAGUAUAGCGAAUGCGGUAUUCUGUAUUCGGGAAGAAAAUCUGUAUGCAGGGCAGUUGACCUUCCUUUGCCUCAAGCAGAAAAGCUCCUUGAUCCAGUCCUCUUGAUAUGACCCCAUUUCAUCGGACAAGGUUCCACUCAGUCUGACCGCCUUUCUUUUCAUGCUAGAGUACCUGAAAUCAGGCAGGUGGAAAUUGGGCUGGGACGAGGAUUCCUGAUAGUCCCCUCCUUUGCAAAUUAAUUUGCCUGGGCUAGUGAAGAGGAUAAAUAGGAAAGGGCAAAACUGGGCAAAGGAUUUCCUGGCCAUCUGCAUAUCAAGCAGGAGCUACAAGUGAAGAAGGAUCAUCAACUACAAGACCGAUUACCUCUGCAGCAAUGUUUCCUGAAAAAGAAAAGAUGAAGACAGGAAAAUAACUGUUUAAAAGCAAUGGGUCGGAGGACAGCCUCUUAAGGAAGGGCACAAUUAUUUUCUCAAAAGAGAAAAUUCAUAUCAACAUUGUUGGCAAAAACUCAACACUUUUAGGAAAGACAUUUUUUUACGGUGUGUAAUAAUCAGUGAUAUAGUGAAAUUAAUAGUUUGACUUUAAAUCUGUUAAAUAUACUGAAUUAAGACCUUGAUUAUUAAACUUCAAUAGAUGUAAGAUUAGGUCUCACUUAAAAAAAAAACCUAAUGUGUCAUCUUACUGAUAUCUGAUUUCACCUUCAUGACAUAUGAGUGAGGUGUCUUAUUUGAGGACAAUCAUUAUUGUUGCUCUUAAGCAAAAUCUUUCUCACAUGGUGACUCUUAAGAUUGACUGGUAUGCACAGAACAUAAGGCCUUCUGGGUCCUGCAAAUUGUGCCAAGCUUCUUUUAUGCAUGCCUUAAUCAACUAAUAAAGGCCUUUCUUUGUAAAA